UGAAGUUACUUAAAUAAUGAAGUAAGCGAAAUCAGAUGACCAGGGUCGGGCAUUGGUUGGUGGUUAUGUUAGGAACCACGUUCGUAGUGGCGUUCCUUGGCGUAGCCAAUCCAGUCCAGGCGCUCAGACACUGGGUCCAGCGAGCCACUCACGUUACCCAGAAGAUCGACCUCAGCACCCAAGUUUGCUACAGCGAAAUCAUCCCUGGCCUUUACCUGAGUAAUAUCAAAGCUGCCCAGGAUAUAAAUGUCUUGCGUCAUCUUAAUAUCACCCAUGUUCUCACCAUCGAAGCGCAUCGCAUCCCGAAGUCAGUUUUCGCCGAAAGAAACAUUAAUAACCUCUUCAUCAAGGCCUAUGAUACGAGCCAGACGAAUCUCAUGCCCUAUUUCCCCAUGUCCAAUGCCUUCAUCGAGGAAGGUCUCACAAGUGGAGGGAACGUCCUCGUACAUUGCCGUUUCGGUGUAUCACGAUCGGCCACCUUGGUUAUUGCCUACCUGAUGCAAAAGUACAACAUGAAUUAUGACCAGGCUUUCGAAUAUGUCAGGUCAAAGAGGUUUUUCAUCAAUCCCAACCCUGGAUUUGUGAGUCAACUCCAAGAAUACCACCGGCUUCACUACGGCGUGAAUCAGUAUCAGAGAUUCGAGGCAUACUGCGCCGUGAAGGCGCGAAAGCACAAAUACAAGAUAGUCUCAGCAGCCGUGAUCCUGGUCACCAUCCUCGUGCCUAUAGUUGUUUUGAUCUAUCUGUGGUAAUGGAGCUUAUAAAUUGUGAGGCUUAGCAUGCACUAAUCACCUUUGUUGUCGGCAGAAUUGUACUGUUUUACUCCUAAAGAAGAGACCCACCAGCAACAAAAGUGGUUCGUGUGCGAGCUAAAUAUACCAAAGUAAUGAUUCUCGUGAAUAUAAAUAUGUCAAAUCGAUUGAAAAAAAAAA